AUUGAACGCUGGCGGCAGGCUUAACACAUGCAAGUCGAGCGAGCGGCGGACGGGUGAGUAAUGUCUGGGAAACUGCAUGAUGGAGGGGGAUAACUACUGGAAAAGGUAGCUAAUACCGCAUAACAUCAGAUGUGCCCCGAUGGGAUUGGCUCGGGGGUGGGGUAAUGGCUCACCUAGGCGACGAUCCCUAGCUGGUCUGAGAGGAUGCACAGCCACACUGGAACUGAGACACGGUCCAUACUCCUACGGUAGGCAGCAGUGGGGAAUAGUGCACAAUGGGCGCAAGCCUGAUGCAGCCAUGCCGCGUGUUUUAAGAAGGCCUUCGGGUUGUCAAGCUCUUUCAUCGAGUAGGCGUUACUCGCAGAAGAAGCACCGGCUAACUCCGUGCCAGCAGCCGCGGUAAUAC
rnacentral:rRNA from 1 species